rnacentral:misc_RNA from 1 species
GGGAUAUUCGUUUCUUCUGUUUUCUCUUUGAUGGCUCUGGUCUUGAAGCGUUUAAAACUUGAUUUGGGGGGUCGAAUGGAACCAAUAUAGUAAUUGUUGAUGCUUCUCCUACUGAUAAGGGAAGUAGCAGAAAACAGAGGAGAGACUUGCACAGCUAUGGCCAUUGCUAUUAUUAAGCUCCAGCCAGCCAAACAAAAGAAAAAACAGUUCUCUAUCUAUCUAUCUCCAACUCAC